rnacentral:rRNA from 1 species
AGCGAACGCUGGCGGCAGGCUUAACACAUGCAAGUCGAACGGGCGUAGCAAUACGUCAGUGGCAGACGGGUGAGUAACGCGUGGGAACGUGCCUUUUGGUUCGGAACAACACAGGGAAACUUGUGCUAAUACCGGAUAAGCCCUUACGGGGAAAGAUUUAUCGCCAAAAGAUCGGCCCGCGGCUGAUUAGCUAGUUGGUGAGGUAAUGGCUCACCAAGGCGACGAUCAGUAGCUGGUCUGAGAGGAUGAUCAGCCACACUGGGACUGAGACACGGCCCAGACUCCUACGGGAGGCAGCAGUGGGGAAUAUUGGACAAUGGGCGCAAGCCUGAUCCAGCCAUGCCGCGUGAGUGAUGAAGGCCCUAGGGUUGUAAAGCUCUUUUGUGCGGGAAGAUAAUGACGGUACCGCAAGAAUAAGCCCCGGCUAACUUCGUGCCAGCAGCCGCCGUAACAC